AAAUAACAAACUUUCAAUUAUUUUUUUUAAAUUAAGAAAAAGACAUUAUGAAUAAUAAUAUAUUUAUUUAAAAUCGACAUAAUGUCAACUAGAUAGGAUCUCUUAAAGCAUACGAAAUAUUUAUUUAUUAUUCUUGCAACUUUUCAAGAUUGAAGCAAUGCAUGGCAUGCACGAGCACCUACAAAAUAAAAACAAUUAUAUAUAUAUUAUGUUUUAUUUAAAAAAAUUAAAUAAAAUAUAUUAGAGACAUAAAAUAAAUAAAUAGCUUUACUUACACAAAGAUUAUUGUUGUAGGUGGCAUGUAUCUUCUUUACAUGAACUCUUACACGCUUUAUAAUCGGUUUUAUAAAGGUUUCCAUAACAUAAAAUGGUACAUAUUAUUUCGCAAAAAGGCUGGUGAAUCUUGUUUAACUUAAAAUCUUGAGAUGGAGUAAUGCAUUCAGCAUGUCUUACAACAAACAUUACCAUUAACAUCAUCACAACAAAACAUUUAAUUCCACUAACAGCCAUUACUCUUAUCAAAUUCAAUUCAAACUCACAAUUUUUUUUAAUGUUUGAACUCUACAUAACACUCAUUUAACAAAAUGUUUCAUUAGAC
rnacentral:lncRNA from 1 species